GGCCCUUUAGCUCAGUGGUGAGAGCGAGCUAAAGGGCCGGGUCGCUGGUUCAAAUCCAGCAAGGGCCACCA
rnacentral:tRNA from 1 species